rnacentral:lncRNA from 1 species
GGGCUAGAAUUAAAAAUGUUGUCCUGCAUUUUUCUAGUUGUAAUCAUUGGGGAGGGAGGAUUGGACCGGGAUAUCUUUUUAAGCUCAGGAUUUCAGGAUCCGGGAAUUGUUUUUUUUUCGAAUUUCGGGAUGUCAGGAUUCAAAUUUAUUUUAACUCGGGAUUUCGUGUUUUUAAGCCCUGGAUUUCGAGAUCAGGACCCCUCCUACCCUCCCUUAUCUGACAUCAUUUUCCUGCAUUUUUAUUCUUCAUUUUUUAGGGACCUUUAUUUUCAUUAUUCAGUUUAUCCUAAUAUUGUUAACAUAAUUGUAAUCUGCUUGUUAUGCCAAAUUACUGUUCCUGCCUUUGUUUGCUCAAAAGCCUGUCUUGCCUUUUUUCAAAUUUUAUCCAAGCCCCCUCCUCAAAUGGUAGUUCCCUCUGACAAUACAAUUUUAAUUUAACAAAAUAAAUAAAUAAACCAUGGACAAUUAUACAAUGCUUCUGUUCGUAGGUCUUCGUACCAAAUUGAUUAAAAUCAAAACUGAAUUGACUCCACAAUACUUAUUUUUUAAAAACCAUACCUGUAGUUUUUAAUGAAAUACACUAUGCUUUUAUGGGCUUAGUAAUACACUUAG